GUGAGCCGAGCCCUUGCAGUUUGGUAAAAGGUGUGAAGGUUCCCAUGAUGGGCAACCUGAAUUGCUGUUCUACAGUUCCCAGGACUGUGUGUGGAAAGAGAGAGGGAAGUUGUGGAGCCCCCCACAAGCACGUCGGCCCCUUCCAGACAAACCAUUAAAAGAAUCCGUUUUUCUCUCCACAAUCAGGUGUUCCCAAUUGCGGACACCGAGGAAGAAAUAAAAAGAAACCAAGAUGCGCUGAGUUACGGGUUUGUUGACAUGAAUACCGCAGAAGCCCUUGGAACCCACAUGGCAGAGGGAUGGCUUGAAGCGGAUUUAGAAGUCAAGCUUCUGCAAAGAACAGUCCUGUGUUCCUUAUCGUCUGAGCAGCACCAUCACAUCCCGGAUGCCAGAACAGAAACCUGAAGACCAUCCUUGACUUUCCCGUCUCACUCACACCCCAAACUGUUUUAGUCUCUUACUAGAACUUCUCAUUUACCCAUUCAUCUUCAGCCUCAUUGCCGUUGGGUCAGUUCACAUCCUCUGACCUCUCACCUAGACAGUU